AGUACAUAGUCUCGCGGACCCUCAUAAACAAUAUACCCAUCGGAUAACAGAAUAAUAUCGUCGAACAGGUUGUAGGUCUCGGGGGCAGGUUGCAAGAGAGAAAUCAGAGCUGUUCCCUUCAUGAUUCGAACAGAUUGCUUUAAGGAAUUCACAAUGGAGUAAGUAGUGGAACUGUCCAAUCCAGUUGAUAUUUCAUCCAUGAAAAGUGCUUUAGAGGGUCCAACAAUCAUUUCACCAGUCGUGACACGCUUCUUCUGUCCUCCAGAAAUACCCCUUAUCAUUUGAUCUCCCACCAUAGUAUCUGCACAAAUAUCCAGUCCCAGU
rnacentral:lncRNA from 1 species